rnacentral:misc_RNA from 1 species
GAUGAAGAACGUAGCGAAAUGCGAUAAGUAAUGCGAAUUGCAGAAUUUCCGUGAAUCAUCGAAUCUUUGAACGCACAUUGCGCCCCCUGGUAUUCCGGGGGGCAUGCCUGUUCGAGCGUCAUUUCACCACUCAAGCCUCGCUUGGUAUUGGGCAACGCGGUCCGCCGCGUGCCUCAAAUCGACCGGCUGGGUCUUCUGUCCCCUAAGCGUUGUGGAAACUAUUCGCUAAAGGGUGUUCGGGAGGCUACGCCGUAAAACAACCCCAUUUCUAAGGUUGACCUCGGAUCAGGUAGGGAUACCCGCUGAACUUAAGCAUAUCAAUAAGCGGAGGA